UACGAAGGGGGCUAGCGUUGUUCGGAAUUACUGGGCGUAAAGCGCACGUAGGCGGACAUUUAAGUCAGGGGUGAAAUCCCAGAGCUCAACUCUGGAACUGCCUUUGAUACUGGGUGUCUAGAGUAUGGAAGAGGUGAGUGGAAUUCCGAGUGUAGAGGUGAAAUUCGUAGAUAUUCGGAAGAACACCAGUGGCGAAGGCGACUCACUGGACACAUAUUGACGCUGAGGUGCGAAAGCGUGGGGAGCAAACAGG
rnacentral:rRNA from 1 species